rnacentral:rRNA from 1 species
GAUCCUGGCUCAGGACGAACGCUGGCGGCGUGCUUAACACAUGCAAGUCGAACGAGAAUCUACGGAUCGAGGAUUCGUCCAAGUGAAGUAGAGGACAGUGGCGGACGGGUGAGUAACGCGUGAGGAACCUGCCUUUCAGAGGGGGACAACAGUUGGAAACGACUGCUAAUACCGCAUGAUACAUUGGGGUCGCAUGGCCUUGAUGUCAAAGAUUUAUCGCUGAAAGAUGG